rnacentral:rRNA from 1 species
GACGAACGCUGGCGGCGUGCUUAACACAUGCAAGUCGAACGGAAAGGCCCUGCUUUUGUGGGGUGCUCGAGUGGCGAACGGGUGAGUAACACGUGAGUAACCUGCCCUUGACUUUGGGAUAACUUCAGGAAACUGGGGCUAAUACCGGAUAGGAGCUCCUGCUGCAUGGUGGGGGUUGGAAAGUUUCGGCGGUUGGGGAUGGACUCGCGGCUUAUCAGCUUGUUGGUGGGGUAGUGGCUUACCAAGGCUUUGACGGGUAGCCGGCCUGAGAGGGUGACCGGCCACAUUGGGACUGAGAUACGGCCCAGACUCCUACGGGAGGCAGCAGUGGGGAAUAUUGCACAAUGGGCGGAAGCCUGAUGCAGCAACGCCGCGUGCGGGAUGACGGCCUUCGGGUUGUAAACCGCUUUCGCCUGUGACGAAGCGUGAGUGACGGUAAUGGGUAAAGAAGCACCGGCUAACUACGUGCCAGCAGCCGCGGUGAUACGUAGGGUGCGAGCGUUGUCCGGAUUUAUUGGGCGUAAAGGGCUCGUAGGUGGUUGAUCGCGUCGGAAGUGUAAUCUUGGGGCUUAACCCUGAGCGUGCUUUCGAUACGGGUUGACUUGAGGAAGGUAGGGGAGAAUGGAAUUCCUGGUGGAGCGGUGGAAUGCGCAGAUAUCAGGAGGAACACCAGUGGCAAAGGCGGUUCUCUGGGCCUUUCCUGACGCUGAGGAGCGAAAGCGUGGGGAGCGAACAGGCUUAGAUACCCUGGUAGUCCACGCUGUAAACGGUGGGUACUAGGUGUGGGGUCCAUUCCACGGGUUCCGUGCCGUAGCUAAUGCUUUAAGUACCCCGCCUGGGGAGUACGGCCGCAAGGCUAAAACUCAAAGGAAUUGACGGGGCCCCGCACAAGCGGCGGAGCAUGCGGAUUAAUUCGAUGCAACGCGUAGAACCUUACCUGGGUUUGACAUGGAUCGGGAGUGCUCAGAGAUGGGUGUGCCUCUUUUGGGGUCGGUUCACAGGUGGUGCAUGGCUGUCGUCAGCUCGUGUCGUGAGAUGUUGGGUUAAGUCCCGCAACGAGCGCAACCCUUGUUCACUGUUGCCAGCACGUUAUGGUGGGGACUCAGUGGAGACCGCCGGGGUCAACUCGGAGGAAGGUGGGGAUGACGUCAAGUCAUCAUGCCCCUUAUGUCCAGGGCUUCACGCAUGCUACAAUGGCUGGUACAGAGAGUGGCGAGCCUGUGAGGGUGAGCGAAUCUCGGAAAGCCGGUCUCAGUUCGGAUUGGGGUCUGCAACUCGACCUCAUGAAGUCGGAGUCGCUAGUAAUCGCAGAUCAGCAACGCUGCGGUGAAUACGUUCCCGGGGCC